AAGUCCCGCAACGAGCGCAACCCUCGCCAUUAGUUGCCAGCAUUAAGUUGGCCACUUUAGUGGGACUGCCGGAGUUAAUCCGGAGGAAGGCGGGGAUGACGUCAAGUCCUCAUGGCCCUUACGGGGUGGGCUACACACGUGCUACAAUGGCGAUUACAGAGGGUUGCAACCCAGCGAGGGUGAGCUAAUCCCUAAAAGUCGUCUCAGUUCGGAUUGCACUCUGCAACUCGAGUGCAUGAAG
rnacentral:rRNA from 1 species